rnacentral:tRNA from 1 species
GUGGGUAUAGCUCAGUGGCAGGGUAUGUGCUUAGCAUGCACGAGGUCCAGGGUUUAGUCCCCGGUACCCCCA